rnacentral:rRNA from 1 species
AACGAACGCUGGCGGCAUGCCUAACACAUGCAAGUCGAACGAGACCUUCGGGUCUAGUGGCGCACGUGUGCGUAACGCGUGGGAACCUGCCCUUAGGUUCGGACUAACUCCCCGAAAGGGGUGCUAAUACCGGAUAAUGUCUUCGGACCAAAGAUUUAUCGCCUUUGGAUGGGCCCGCGUUGGAUUAGCUAGUUGGUAGGGUAAAAGCCUACCAAGGCGACGAUCCAUAGCUGGUCUGAGAGGAUGAUCAGCCACACUGGGACUGAGACACGGCCCAGACUCCUACGGGAGGCAGCAGUGGGGAAUAUUGGACAAUGGGCGAAAGCCUGAUCCAGCAAUGCCGCGUGAGUGAUGAAGGCCUUAGGGUUGUAAAGCUCUUUUACCCGGGAUGAUAAUGACAGUACCGGGAGAAUAAGCGCCGGCUAACUCCGUG